AAUGUGUGAGGUGGUGCUAUGUAGCAGGAACCCCUCUUGCUUUGCAAAUAGUUUUUUGUUUGUUUUCCUUUUUGCCCAAUAGAGCCCUGCUCUACUGACCCUUCAAUGUGCCCGUGUGCCUAAAUAUUCCUGGUCGUGUGAAAAGAACCCAGGUAUUAGCUGAACUAAGGAGCACAAUUCUGCAACAUUUUGGCACCCAAACACGGGGCUUGAGAAAUGAAUGCAAUUGGAGAAACUGGUUGUUUUACCAGGCGUUGAUUGGAAAUGUGUGCUUCCCUUUAAGCAGUCAAGCUCAACUUGCAGAACUGAUGGGAACCCCUUGGGAAAACUGGCCUCAAAUGUUUGUCUACACAGUCCACAUACAGGGUUCUUAACCUGCGACUGACCCUGCUUGUGCCUGUGAACCAACCAACAAUCUCUGGCUGCAGCUCAGAAAGGACAAAAGAGAAUGGUGGACUGGAGCCCAAAAUGCACACUGGAGGAAGUGGAUGGAGCCACGUGGAUGUCAUGCCUUAUGCAGGGGAGGAGCCUGCUCUCUUCAGCUCCUGUGGUAAUGUGGGAAUCGAUCUGUGAGGAAACACUUUCUGAAAAUGUCAGAACUCUUGAAAACAUGGAUGAGGAAAAGCAUAAGUACUGCUUUAUGCUUUUCUUAUGAAUUUUAAAAGAUGUAAUUUAAAGGUACUUUAAAGUGAUAUUUGUGCCCUUGUAACUGAUUCAAAGUAGACUGCUAAGGACAAUAAGUAAUAAGAGUCUACAAAUAUCAGUAAAUUAUGAGAAAAAACGGUCUAAUGGUACUUAAAA
rnacentral:lncRNA from 1 species